UGGCGGCAGGCCUAACACAUGCAAGUCGAGCGGCAGCGGGAAGUAGUUUACUACUUUGCCGGCGAGCGGCGGACGGGUGAGUAAUGUCUGGGAAACUGCCUGAUGGAGGGGGAUAACUACUGGAAACGGUAGCUAAUACCGCAUGACCUCGCAAGAGCAAAGUGGGGGACCUUAGGGCCUCACGCCAUCGGAUGUGCCCAGAUGGGAUUAGCUAGUAGGUGGGGUAAUGGCUCACCUAGGCGACGAUCCCUAGCUGGUCUGAGAGGAUGACCAGCCACACUGGAACUGAGACACGGUCCAGACUCCUACGGGAGGCAGCAGUGGGGAAUAUUGCACAAUGGGCGCAAGCCUGAUGCAGCCAUGCCGCGUGUGUGAAGAAGGCCUUCGGGUUGUAAAGCACUUUCAGCGAGGAGGAAGGCAAUCGUGUUAAUAGCACGGUUGAUUGACGUUACUCGCAGAAGA
rnacentral:rRNA from 1 species